CACAUGUAUACCUAUGUAACAAGCCUGCAUGUUCUGCACAUGCAUACCAGAACUUAAAAUAAAAUAAAAUAAAAUAAAAUAAAAUAAAGGGUGGUUGAGGACCCAAAGGACCCUAAUAAUGUCAACACAAACACAUUUUAUUGGACAUUCUUAAGUCUUCUCUGACUUGGUAACUGCAUGUGCUAAUCUUGGGAAAGUCAGCUGCCAGAACUUUGGGAAGCAGAAAAUUGGAUACAUGAGCUUGAUUAUUCAAAUAAAUGAUUUGAUACCUAAAUUAUCUGGAUAAUUGCCUCCUUAUGGUCUAGGGCAACCUGACCCCCCCAUACUCCUAGAGCCACAGGAAAUCUGAGAGUCAUAAUUGCCUGUGGGAAACUAAAUAGAGUGUCUGAGGGGGUGUCUGCAGAGUAGGAAAUGAAAACCAACUGUUCAAAGUGGCAAAUGAGUAACGUGUUCAUUGUGACAGGUAGAAAAUCAGCCCAGGCUGGGAGGAAGUCAGGAGAGUAAAUUUUGGUUGGUGUCUGACAAGUUCCUCAUCCUGUCUAUUUUUUAAACUUUGGUUGAUUCAUUCCCAAGUAACCCUUACCCAGUGUUAGUUUCUUGUUUAUUCUAUGCUCACAUAGCACCAGGGAACUGUCUGUACCACAUAUUUGCACUUAUUUAUAUGCUGCUUUGUAAAUGUUUUUAAGCCCUUUUUCUACAUGUGUGCCAUGUUUUCUGAAGUGGAUUUAUGUUCUUUGAUGUAGUCUCUUCAAUAGUCAUUUCCUGCUUUCCUCUCAUUUGCAUUUUACAGCUCUGUUCAUUUGAUAUUGUCUCAUGAAGACUUCCAUGUAACUUCUUAAUAACUUUAUCUACACUUUGCCCUCCUUCUGCUGUUGAGUAAAAGUAUGAAAGCAAUGCUGCAUGUGCAGUCAAGAUAUAGUACACCUGCUAUUAGGUUUCUGCUUUACAGUGAUCUGCUUUAAGACAACAACUCAAGCAACUCUGCAUCUAAAAGCCUGGAUUCCUUGUGCAUACUUUGUGUCAUUGUCCAUGAUGCACAACAAGCUGAGCCCCUUCCUGUUCCCACAUAACAACAUGGACUUUGCCCUACUCUGCUUGGAAACCCCUUUCCCCUUCUGCACUUGGGAAGUCAGCAAGAAACUCAUGCUUCAAACCCUAGCUCAGAGGGUUGAGAACCUAGCUCCUCUCCCAGGCAAAUAUUCACUCAUCUCAUCUGCUCCCAGAAUACUUUUUACAAACAUUUUCUAAGGCCCAUGACCAUUUUAUGAUUUUGUUUUGUUUUCACAUUGGUCUUCACCAAAAUGCAUACUUCAAGACCACCGCUUAUUCAUUUUUAUAACCACAUUACCAAAUACUGCAGCUGUCACACAAUGGAUACUCAUAAAAUAUUGGAGAAUAAAUAUUCAGGGGAUAAGUUCUUGUGUGGAAUGUUGAUAGUUCUCUGUUCUAUAUUCCCAUCCCUCCAAGGAGCCUGCCAGGAUGAAUUCUUCCAGCUUCAUUCUUCAUACACCUUCUCUGCCUCAAGAACCAGUGUCCUGCUGGUCCCAGUCCAUCCCUGCUGUUAUCCCAACUCUUCCAUUAAUUGGCAGAGGCAGAAUGGGGCCCCGAGAUAUUUUCAAAGCUGAAUGAAGAAAGCUGUAUUAGGAAAACAGUUACAAGAUGAAGUUGAUUUUUUUUCUGAUCUCUGAAGGCUUUUAUUAGUGCGAUGGGGGCAGGAAAGGAGGAACAAUAUAGCUAGUCAGAGGUCCCUUUCUCACACUAGCUCCUGCCCUGGAUAGCAGGGUAGUGGGUGGGAGGUGGGGGAUUGCCUACAGUCAUAAUCCCCCCCACCAACAUUCUUACCCUCAUUUUCUUGCCCCAGGGCCCCCCAACCAAAAGGGAGUCUGUAACUGUAAUUAAUCAGUCUGUAAUCAACAAAGUCCCAUUAAGAAAUAAUGAGGCCAGUAAUGCAGUGGUUGCCAUUGGUGGGGGAUUAGUGAAACUCAUGUGGUUUCCUGCAGCUCUCUCACUUUCUGAGGAAGUGUUGGGGAGGGGAUAAAUUGUCGACUCAGCACUAUUAGCAUUAGUCCCUGCACUCUCCCCCAUACUCUCCAGUUAAACACCUUGCUGAAAUUGGUUGGAUGUGUUAGGUGGGACAUCACUCCCAUCUCUGAUAAAGGCAUGCAUGUGAGUUCCUUGCUGUCAGGGUUACAUCAUAGUCAUCUCUGCAUUCACAGUGCCUGGCACAUCGUAAGUGCCCAAUAAAUGUUCCAUGAAUGCCAGGAGAGAGUGGGUUAGAAGUGCACAUUAAGCCUAAGACCCAAAUGUCCCACCUUCUUGCUUAAGACAUUCUCAAAAAGAUUGUGGCUCCAGAAGAUGGCCGAAUAGGAACAGCUCCGGUCUCCAGCUCCCAGCCUGAGCGACACAGAAGACGGGUGAUUUCUGCAUUUCGGUUUGAGGUAAACUCCUCCAGGGCAGGACCUGACUCUUCUGAGGAAUUUUUUAAUCAUCCUCCCCAGAAGUGCCCACGUCAAGGCCAUAGUAGAAAAGGAGCUUAAGAGCAAUCCUUAAGCAACCACACUUGGAAGCAUCCUGCAUCAGAGGCAUUUGUUCCAGACUCAGAUUUAAUCCACUAUUUCCUUUUCGUAAGACAAGUGUUGUCUGAAGGAGUCUGUGUGUGAUUUUGAGACAAAAGGAUUGCAGAACUCAGCUCCCAGGUUGUCUCAUAUCUGAUUCUUCGAAAGGGGAAAAGAAGUGAACUCUUCUGCACAAUAGCUGAGCAGACAGGAGAGAAAAAGCUUGAAGAUGCACAGUGGAGCAAGGCUAAUUGGAGCCUUCCUCGGAGCAUCUCAACUCUCCCAGUUUUACCUAUCCCAUUCCUUGCCAUUCCCACCUGUAAUUCUGUCUUGGCAAGAACACCACAUUGAAGGUUCUCAAAGUACUUUGUAGACUUUAAUUAGUUCUGUGGGAAGUCAGGCAAAGCUCAGCCUUCAUUCUGCCAACAGAGAUGACAGUGGUGGGUAUGGAAGGAAGGCAAGAAGAAGAUGGGCACCCAGAGCAGCUGUGCAACUUACUGAAGGCCAUGUGAAUAGGAGGAACUGGGUUUAAAACUCCUGAGUCUUCAUAAAAGUGUCUUAGCCUUCCAGAUUCCUAAACAGGUAGUGGGCUCAUCCUACUAACCUACUUUGCUAGGGUGUUGUUGACGAAUGCUUAUAAACCCUGUCCUAGAUGGUAGGUUUGGAAGAUUGUUAAAGAAAGCAUGUCAUUAAGUACCUACUCACCCCCUUCUCAACAAAUAGCCCUGGAGGGAAGAAUGUUAGCCAGAAUUGGAGGGCCUCCACUUCAAUGAGAUGAACUGAGAUUCAACAACAGGAGAAAUGUUCCAACAGUGAGGGAAAUCAACAGUGUCCUGGGGGUGAAGGGUAGGGGUUGGGAAGGCCUAAACAGAUGAUCUUGUCUGCCAGACAGCCCAGACAAGAUCAUCACAGAAUAGCUGAUUCCCAUUAGUCACUGUAGAUGAUCAUUUUCUUAAAAUUCAGGACACUAGUUUCCAUUCCUCUCUUUGUAAGAGCAGAAGACCUCUCUGGGGCCUAUCACAAGACAAGUGGGUGUUUGCAAAUGAGGGACACGGUUUGAGCCUGAAUUGCUCUGUGCUUCUCUAAAAGACAUGAUUAAGAGUUUGGGCGCUGAUGUUAGAGACUGAGAUUAAAAUCCUUCCUUGCCACUUCCAUCAGUAUCAAUUUGGAUAAGUUUCUUAACUUCUCUAAGCCUCGAUUUUCUCACCUAUAAAAUGGGCCUAAUAAUAGUGCCUAACUUAGAGGUUUGCUGUUAAGGUUAAAUGCAAUUAUUCAGGUAAAGCCUUAAUGGAGCCUGAUAUGUAGUAAGCACUUAAUCCAUUUUAUCUACUGACUCUUUUCUCUGUGUGGGUUACCCACUUUGGAGAUUAUCCCCAGUAAUUUCUUUGGUCAAGUCUUGAUCUCCCUGGCCCCUUGGCUAUCUUCUCCCACCAUGAUCAGUGAGAAGUUGAGGAACACUAAUACCAAAUUCUUUUUCGUGUUAGUUAGGAGAAAGCAGAAUUACGAAGGUCAACCUGCUGGUGUAAAAAAAUGUUACAUAGAUUAGCCCUGCUCUACAUAUUAGAUAUGUUCUCAAAAUGCCUAAGUGGCCAUUUUUUUUUAAGUUCUAGGGUACAUGUGCACAAUGUGCA